rnacentral:rRNA from 1 species
GGGGAAUUUUGGACAAUGGGCGAAAGCCUGAUCCAGCCAUGCCGCGUGCAGGAUGAAGGCCUUCGGGUUGUAAACUGCUUUUGUACGGAACGAAAAGACUCUUUCUAAUAAAGAGGGUCCAUGACGGUACCGUAAGAAUAAGCACCGGCUAACUACGUGCCAGCAGCCGCGGUAAUACGUAGGGUGCAAGCGUUAAUCGGAAUUACUGGGCGUAAAGCGUGCGCAGGCGGUUAUGUAAGACAGAUGUGAAAUCCCCGGGCUCAACCUGGGAACUGCAUUUGUGACUGCAUAGCUAGAGUACGGUAGAGGGGGAUGGAAUUCCGCGUGUAGCAGUGAAAUGCGUAGAUAUGCGGAGGAACACCGAUGGCGAAGGCAAUCCCCUGGACCUGUACUGACGCUCAUGCACGAAAGCGUGGGGAGCAAACA